GAUGAACGCUGGCGGCGUGCCUAAUACAUGCAAGUCGAGCGAACGGACGAGAAGCUUGCUUCUCUGAUGUUAGCGGCGGACGGGUGAGUAACACGUGGAUAACCUACCUAUAAGACUGGGAUAACUUCGGGAAACCGGAGCUAAUACCGGAUGAUAUUUUGAACCCAUGGUUCAAAAGUGAAAGACGGUCUUGCUGUCACUUAUAGAUGGAUCCGCGCUGCAUUAGCUAGUUGGUAAGGUAACGGCUUACCAAGGCAACGAUGCAUAGCCGACCUGAGAGGGUGAUCGGCCACACUGGAACUGAGACACGGUCCAGACUCCUACGGGAGGCAGCAGUAGGGAAUCUUCCGCAAUGGGCGAAAGCCUGACGGAGCAACGCCGCGUGAGUGAUGAAGGUCUUCGGACCGUAAAACUCUGUUAUUAGGGAAGAACAUAUGUGUAAGUAACUGUGCACAUCUUGACGGUACCUAAUCAGAAAGCCACGGCUAACUACGUG
rnacentral:rRNA from 1 species